UGUGACCCGCGGAGGAGCAAGGGGGGGAAAGGCAGGCCCGGCCGGCCUGCACAGCCGCCCCCGCCGCUACAGGGUCGCUGGCCACCGCCGCGCUGCCUCCUCCCCUCAGGGGGCGGCAGCUCCCCGGCCGUGCCCUGCGGCGGAGCGGGACUCGGGGGCGGGAGUUGCCUCCCUUUCGUCUUCCUGCCUCUUGUUUUCGUUUCUCUUUCACGGCAGGUUUCGCAUGGUGCGGCCUGGCAGCGUUGAGGCGCCUGAGCUGACUUCCCCGGGGGUUGUCAGGGCGGCCAGGGGGCGAGGGCAGCGGGAGGAGCCUGGCCUGCGGGGCAGCGGCUGGCUAGCAGCCUGAGGGCGAUAGCGGGAGGGGCUGAGGGGAGUCGUCGAGUCAGUUGGGUUUCGUGUCGGUUGGGGUUGUCUCUUGGGGUCUGCUUUAGCCAGAAAAUGUCUGCAGAGGUGCUGAGUCUUUUAGAGGGAUCUAAAGGGGGCAAAGAGCAGAGGAUGAUAGGAAGGUGAGGGUCGAGCUGGCUUGAAGCCGUGUCGUGAAUUGGGACAAGGUGGGUCGAGUCACUGAUCUGAGGAGCAUGAUUUUUCUGCAUGUUUUCUUACAACUGUUGCUUUCUCCUUGUUCUUGGUCUCAGUCUCGUGCUGGAGGGGUGAUGGGCAUGCAUUCACUACAACAGGGGUAAUGAAGAGCCUUGUGUAGAGACUAUUUCUCCAUGUGUGGCACAGGGGUUUGCAUUGGUUUGUGUUAUCUGUGUUGGUAACAGAAAAGAUUUGCCUGCUUACUGCCCUAGGAGUCAAAGGAUCUAUGAGAGUUCUUAAGUUCUCAGUAAAGAUCGUCAGUGAGAUAUGGGAGUCCGGAUAUCAGCAGCCUCCAAAGUCUGUGUAAAGGUUGAGAAGAGUAAUCUUGGGUAUGUCAGUGUCUAUCACAGCUAGAAUAUCUGCUAGGAAGCAGAAGUGCAGUUUCCUCCGAGGCAGAUCAACCGCUGAAUUUAACAUCCUUCUAGGUUGCUGGCAUUGUCAAGAAAGCAGUUCAGCUAAACAAAAGGAAAUCAGAAGAUGCAGUUACAAACUGUGAACCAAUGACUAUGAACCAGUGAGAACAUGUGAGGAAGAUCUCUGAAAAUGAUGUUUGACUGUAACAACACAGACCAGACAGCUUUUAUUUUGACCAACAGACUGUUGGGAACACAAACUGUAGGUCAAAGUGAAGGACUUGAAACAUGCUCCAGUCUGUACAGAUGUUCUCACUCAGAAAGCAGCUAGAUGGACCAGAAGAUAAACGAAGGCUGUCCAACUUUGAAAAAGGUUUGGAUUUUCAUUCUGUCUUGAUAAGUAAAUCCAGUUUUUCUGGUAGUCUGAUUUUCAGCCUGAUAGAAAAAUUCAACAUCUACAGACAUGACCUAAAAUGACAGAUACCUGAAAAUGUACAAGCAAGACCUCAGAAAGGCGCUAUACAAUAUCAUAAAAAUAUUUUUUGUUUUCAUCUUAAAUGCUUUUGUGUCAAAGGCAGGGAGCAAAGACCAGAAAUUGGAAAUGUUGUUAGUAUUCUAACUCUGAAGCAGGUCAUACAUGCUUGCAGGCAGCAUGCAAUACUUGGAAUGCAAGGCUAAGAUCUGAAAGGUGAUUCAGGAAUCUCUUCUGUAGAUUUUUUUUUUUUUAUUAUUAUAGAAAGCAAGACAGGAUUCCUGAGCUCAGGAGGGUUAUUUGUGAAUAACUUCCAGCUAAAGUGAUUAAGGGCUCCAGCCACUAGCCAAAAAAAAAAAAAACCAAAACAUCAAAAACAUCCUGCUUGUCAUUGCUGCUGGCUUUUUGUUCAAUGAGGUGAGCAUUUGUCUUGUGUUGGUUUUGGUCCUCUGCCCUUGGCGAUACUUUUAACAAUGAAUAAUACUUGAAAGAA